UUGGUAGUCGCGGGGCUCGAGGCAGAGACCGUGGGAUUGGGCCUCAGGCUCUGCGCUGUGGUGUGGGCCGCACUGCCCAGAAGACUAGGGCAGUGGCUGAGGACCCCCUUAUGUCAGGUGGCCGCGGUAGCGGUGAGGCUUUUCUUAGAGGCCCCUAGGCGUGGAGCCCUGCGGGGUAAUAUCAACUCUCUAGAACCUUAGCAAAGAAAUAAAGUGAGGAGGAAGCCUCUGAAAGCAAAAUGAUACAGUUUUCACAGACUCUUAUCAUAGUCACCACCAUCUACCUGGUCACCCAGAAUAGAAACCUGAUUCUCUGGGACAUAGGAAUAAAUGCCUUCUCUCAAUGGACUCAUGCUAGGAUCCAGCAAAAUACUUAGCCUCUUGGAGCUUCAAAGUCUUUGCUCAUAAAAUGAGAGACUUGUGCUUAAGGACUUCCUCCACAAGUCCUUCCAGCUCACAUAUCACAUCAUUCUCUGAAACAUCACUGAUGACUGCAAUCAGAACAUCAAAUUGGACUUGGUGAAACUUCUGUUAGUGAGACCACACUGGAUUUCUAAAACUUGAUGACCAGAGAUUGAAAACAAAUAAAUAAAGAAGGUGUAGGGAUGCAUCCCAUUAUGUUGGAUAGAAGGGAUUGGGAUGUGAAAAUACCA